AAAAAUUUAGUUAAAAUAUAACAUUAGUUUGUCAAGCUAAAAUAAUUAAUAAAUAAUAAUUUUUA
rnacentral:tRNA from 1 species